UACAGAGGUCUCAAGCGUUGUUCGGAUUCAUUGGGCGUAAAGGGUGCGUAGGCGGCGCGGUAAGUCGGGUGUGAAAUCUCGGAGCUUAACUCCGAAACUGCAUUCGAUACUGCCGUGCUUGAGGACUGGAGAGGAGACUGGAAUUUACGGUGUAGCGGUGAAAUGCGUAGAUAUCGUAAGGAAGACACAGUGGCGAAGGCGGGCGCCUG
rnacentral:rRNA from 1 species